rnacentral:rRNA from 1 species
UCUUCGGACCUCACGCUAUCAGAUGAGCCGUAGGUCGGAUUAGCUAGUUGGUGGGGGUAAAGGCCUACCAAGGCGACGAUCCGUAACUGGUCUGAGAAGGAUGAUUCAGUCACACUGGAACUGAGACACGGUCCAGACUCCUACGGGAGGCAGCAGUGGGGAAUAUUGGACAAUGGGCGAAAGCCUGAUCCAGCCAUGCCGCGUGUGUGAAGAAGGUCUUCGGAUUGUAAAGCACUUUAAGUUGGGAGGAAGGCCAGUAAGUUAAUACCUUGCUGUUUUGACGUUACCAACAGAAUAAGCACCGGCUAACUUCGUGCCAGCAGCCGCGGUAAUACGAAGGGUCCAAGCGUUAAUCGGAAUUACUGGGCGUAAAGCGCGGGUAGGUGGUUCAGCAAGUUGGAUGUGAAAUCCCCGGGCUCAACCUGGGAACUGCAUCCAAAACUACUGAGCUAGAGUACGGUAGAGGGUGGUGGAAUUUCCUGUGUAGCGGUGAAAUGGGUAGAUAUAGGAAGGAACACCAGUGGGGAAGGCGACCCCCUGGACUGAUACUGACAUUGAGGUGGGAAAGCGUGGGGAGCAAACAGGAUUAGAUACCCUGGUAGUCCACCCCGUAAACGAUGUCGACUAGCCGUUGGGAUCCUUGAGAUCUUAGUGGCGCAGCUAACGCGAUAAGUCGACCGC